GGCAGCUGGUGGGAAAGUCAGGAAAGAAGCAAACACCGCUCUAUAGAACAGUGGGGCCAAGGAAAGGAAGCCAACUCCUUCUCAAACUGCAUCUGCACUGGAUUAUUCUAAAAAAUGAGGAACUGGUUUGGAGAGGGAUGCACCCGCUCAUAGAAAUUUAUAGGACACAGCGUCAAGUGAGACAAGUACGACCCAAGUGGAUUGACUGCACUUCACAUUUUUAGAAGCUUUUGUUUUAUAUAACCUUUCUUUGGGGCAUGGGAAUGCUCACCUUGUCAAAAAAUGUCCCACUUUUUUUUUUCAGGCUGUUCUAUUCAUUCCAUGCUAAAUUGCUUGCUGUAUUAAAUGCUUAAGGGACUAUAUUUUAGUACCACUUAAAGAGUGUUAAAUAAUCCUCAUAUUUAUUUCCUUUCCUUACUGAAUGCCUUUAAAAAAGUGUUUGAAAUAUGAGGUUGGGGAGUUUAUGCAUAAAAAUAAUUAUAAUAACACUUAGAAGCUCUUAUUCUAGAAGCAAAAGCAGCCCUUAGCAGGCUCCUGAGAUACCUGAGUUCGGAACCUGUUGUUUUCUUCCUCGGGAUGUUAGCACGCUGGGAAUCACUGGUGUGGGAUGCUGUCAAAUGCACACCCCAUUGAGGCUUUAGGACCUGGAGGAUGUGCUUUAUCUUCAUGAUGGGAAUGUCCCAUGUUACAUGACUGGGUAUGACUGUUGUGGAGCUGGUUCUAACAAUCUAAUCCAAUGUGCUCAUAUGGAAUGUUUGGUCUGCUCGUUUUGUUAAGAAUAAUUGUUUUCACUGAAACAAUGUAUCACUUACAAACAUACAAAAUAAGCAAUUUGAAAUUUACUAAAUACAAUUUAUUUUAUGGUCAACUGACAGGUUUAAAGUACCAUGAACUGUCUACUGUUUAUCUGAAUUUUUUAAAACUAGAUGAUAAACUCAAAAAUAUUUGAGAAAAAUGGAGACAUUUAAAAGGAUAUUUUUGGUUGUUUUUAAGCUUUUACCAAAAAUCAGUCUCUCUCUUUCUCUCUCUCUGUGUGCAUUAUAUAAUACAUUACAGCCUAAUAAAUGAACCCUGUGAAAAAUAUACUUCUCUAGAUAUAAAUCUACCUUACAGUAGAUAGAAACGUUACUUUCAAAUGUAAACCCUGGAAAUAAAUAACUCUGAAUCACAGAGACAGAAUACUUACAAAACCUUUACAUGAAAUAUGCACAU
rnacentral:lncRNA from 1 species